ACAAGAGGUCUAUUUAAGUGACCUGCAGGAUACUCUCCAGUAGGUUAGAUUGAAGAGAAGUUGGGAAACAAGGAACACUAAAUAUGGCAUAUCUUCACUGAUAGUAUAUUGUAAGCUUAAUUUCAUUGUUUCUAGCUUUUGGUCUAACAUUUAAAACAUCACUGUGGCUCCAACUGUUGAAUCUGGGUAAACAAAAUUAUUAGCAUUGCAGCAAAUUUCAGAAAUGAAAUAUUUGAAAAAUAGCAAGCUGGUCAGGGAAAGAAAAAAGAAUCAAAUGCUUCAGCAGAACCUGCUUUCUGAAGAUAAAGUCAAAAUAUGAGCAUAUAAAAUGUUAGUGCCUGUUAGUAAGUUUCCAGAAAACAAGUGAAGAGUUGGGCUUUAAGAGUGGGAGUAAUAGUGAUUUUUACCCUCCCCCCCCCCAUUUAUAGACUGUCUUACUGUUUCAGGACCAUUUCUUUUUGCAUUAAAAUUCAGGAAGACCAAUUUAAAAUAACAAAUUACAUCAAAGGAAAUCUGGAAUAUAUAAACAUCUCUUAGGAUAGAUUGUUCUGCCACAGGUAGUAUGGUGCAUAUAGGAAAUAUUUUAUACCACAAAAUGUUAAUUUAAUGAUAUUAAAUUCCAGUGAGCAGACAUUGCCAUAUUUGGAAGGGAAUUAGAGUAUCUGGAAGGAAAUUCGACCAUCCCUCCAUCCUCUGGACUAAGAAACCUGUGAAACCUCUGCUAAUCACCAUCCUACCCUCUGCUUCUGAAAGUUGAAAUAUUUUAGGAAUCUCAUGAGCGAAAUCAUGCAGCAGUUCUGUGACUACUUGUUUUACUUAGCACAGAGUCCUCAUGGUUAAUCCAUAUAAUUUCAUUUGGCAAGAGACUUCUUUUUAAAGAGUUGCUUUCUGGUGUCUUCAUUUCAAAUGCAACAAGUCCUACGCACACGUCUUGUAAUCCAAAUCUAGUGGCGAUAAAGUCCCUCUGAACAUCUGAAUUUCCCCUUCAUCUCUGAGGGUUGAUUUGGAUGGCCAAGCUGCUCUGAGUACUUUCGAUGUGGGACCACUGCAGUCUCUCUUGGACGAUUCUUCUGAGAAAUCUGCCAAUAGUUUCAUAGAAGUUCCCUGACAGAUGCUGGGCUGCCUUGGAAAUUCUUCAUCUUUUGUCAAUUUGGUCAUAAUAUGUCUUAGUAUGUAUUUCCAGAGUAUUUUUUUUUUCUCUGAACUUCAUGAAUUGAGAUGUCCAGUUUUCUCCUAACACUGAUGAGAUUUCUGCCAUUCUUUUUUUUUUUUUUUAAGAUGUAUUCAUUUUUAUUGCAAAGU